rnacentral:rRNA from 2 species
CUGCGGCAAGGAUCAUUA